AUACCAUGCUGAAUAUACCGGUUCUCGUUAGAUCACCGAAGUCAAGCAUCAAUGGGCGCGGUCAGUACUAUUGGGUAAACAUUCUGGGAAAAAAAACUCGUGCCGU